UUUAAAUUAUUCCUACAUUUUUACAAAUUUCCUAAAUUAAAAAAAAAUUUUUUUGUGCAAAUGCCGUCAGCAAGGUGCGAUCAGAUUAUAGCCAGAAACCCCCCAUCACCCUGCCUUAGGAUCUCCACAAACUUUUAAAACUUUUUUAAUCAAACUAAUCUAAUCAGAGGUAGAUUUCCACACUAUGCAGCAUCAUUCUCAAAACUUGGCCAUCGUUUGUGUUAUCCAAUCCAGAUAGCGAAAGACGCUCGUGUAGAUGCCGGGAAGUCCUGGCGUGCCACAGGACAGACCUGCCGAAGUAAUGCCCAUCACAUGAUACAUGCAGGGAUAAUUCUGAUGGUACAUUAAUAACGGACCACCAGAGUCCCCGUUGCAGGUAUCCUGAGCCCUAUCAGAGCCAACGCACACUUGAGUAGCGGCAUCGAAUCCGUGGGGAUAUUCCUCAAGUUGUCGUGAGAGAAUCUUCUUGCAAAUCUGGAAAAAAACAUGGCAUCGGAUCGGUAUCUUCAAUACAAUGAUGGAUAACCCAUACCGAAUCCUCGUAGCGAUCCAGUUUCACUUUGAGUAGCUUCGCGGAGGGUUUCACAGCAAACCCCGUGCUUCCCCAGCCCACAGCUAUGAAGGAAAUGAAAUAACGCUCAUCGACAAAGGGCAAGCAGGCGGGAUGCUUGUAGAGAUCGAAUACGACAUCCUCUGACAGCUUGACCAGUCCGAUGUCAUGGUAGAGCUGUGGAUCCUCAUAGUUCGGAUGUGUUUUGUAGUCCGCCACGUUGUAGUCCCGUGGGGCAGCAUCAUCUUCAAACGUGUCAAAGUCCAGCUCGCCGAGACGAACCACAUUUACCUCGCCUCUGCAGCAGCAGUAGAAAAGAUAAUUUAUUUCUUCAUUCAGUUUAUUAGCUCAGUGUCACUUACUGUUCCGAUUCCAGGCAGUGGGCAGCGGUUAGAACGAAGCGUUCACUUAUCAGUGUGCCGCCGCAGAACCAAUCAAUAUUCUGGUCCCAGCUCUAGGCGACGUCCGAGCCGUGCCAUAGGUGGAAACUCCUUGGGAUUGGCCGGAUCCCCACCCACAAUCAACGGCGUAUAGCUGCGGCAAUUGUCCACAGUUUGUCGCUGAAUAGGUGCUCCGGGCAAGAGAAAACUGUAGGCUAUCGUCUCUUCGAACACGCUCUGUUUGAGACUGGUGCAAGCUGUAAAGGGAGUGUAGUCGCCUCCAUGGAUGAGGUGAGACCAUCAGGAGAUCGGGUCACACUUACAGCGCACAAUAUCCGAAUGUAAAUGUGAAUUUUGGCCAAAACCGCAUGGCAGUUCGCUAAGCAGCAGCGACACCAGCAAGAGAAUCAUCUUCGCCACAGAUUUGAUUGCGAUUACUUUGCUCAGCCGCUAAUCAAAGCGAGGCAGGCGGGUCGCCUACCGCGCAGAACGGGUUUCGAAUCAGUUAUUCAUCGCCGAGCAAACAGAUUGAUCAAGCAGGCCCCAGGCCAUCGCAUUGCUAAAUUGUUCCGAUUUGCUUAGCUUGUUCCCCGUACAGAUGUGGUCUAUAAUUAGCAUGGAAUGGAACGUGGCUGUUACGAUCUCUUGGCCAUCUCCGCUUUAAUCCAGUCCAAGUAUUGAUGUACACGCGUGUAGAGGCCUGGAAAGUCCGGAGUGUCGCAGAAAUUUCCAGUGGAGGUGAUGCCCAUCACAUGGUACAUGCACGGAAAGUCCCUGUGAUAUGUCAGCACCGGGCCACCAGAGUCCCCGUUGCAUGUAUCCUUGUGUUCCUUGGAGCCGAUGCAGAGCUGGGUUCUGGCGUUGUAGCCGUUGGGCAGCUCCUCGUUUGGCUCGGACGUGGUGCUGCAUCGGGUGCCAUAGUUAUUCAGACGCACCUUCCUGAGCUUCUUGGAACUUUCGCUGACAACCUUUACCUGACCCCAGCCGAUGGCAAUAAAGGUCUGAUCGCUGGCGCCAUCGUGAAAGGGCAGACACGCCGGAUGCUUGUACUCGUUGAAGGUGACGGGUCGGCUCAGUCGCAGCAGGGCAAUAUCAUUGUAAAUGAUUGGAUGAGCAUAGCCAGGAUGCACCGUGGAAUUGGCCACGCAAAAGUCCUCCGGAUCGGCAUCGUCCUUGUCGUUGUCAAAUUCCAGUUCUCCCAGCCGAACGACAUUCACCGCCCCACUGCAACAGAGAAUCGUUUAGAGAUAACCAGCCCCCCUGCACUGCCUGAUAGAUACUGACUUCUCGCUGUAUAGGCAGUGGGCCGCCGUGAGAACAUGUUGAUUGCUGAUCAAGGUGCCGCCACAGAACCAAUUUAUUUCGUUAUCUUCAUCGCGAUUACCCAAGCGUGCGGCAUGGGGAAACUCCUUGGGAAGUGCGGGUCCUCCGCCGAUAAUCAGGGGCGUGUAGCUGGUGCACGUGUCUCUGGUCUUGUAGAUGACCGGUGCAUUCGCAUAGAGCAGACUGAAUUCCGACGUCUGCUCGAACACGCUCUUUUUGUAGGCAGCGCAUGCUGUAGGGUAGAGCAGUCGCCAUUGUUUCAGAAUCGAUUAUAAUCGCUGAGUACUCACAUCUGACUAGAUCCUGAUCCAGGGCUGCACUCCAGUCGGCUGCCAGCACUAGCAAGGCAGCUCCCAGCUGGAAAAUCUUUAUUGUGAACGCAGUUUGCAUUUCCCUGUCACUCGUUUCGUGUUCGUACACUCGCAACGCUCUGGCAGCUACUGAAUGUAUCUCAAUCAAUCGACGGACUCCAGCUGUGAUCUCUGCGAGGUUAUCGUCCAGCGAGAGAUUGCCUGAUGAUAGGGGGAGGGAAAACCCGGGACUAUAUUGAUUAUAAAUCAAAUAUACGCAAUUAUUAUUAUGCAACCGA